rnacentral:rRNA from 1 species
UCUUGGUCAUUUAGAGGAAGUAAAAGUCGUAACAAGGUCUCCGUAGGUGAACCUGCGGAGGGAUCAUUACUGAAUGGCCUUUUGGGCCUUCAACCUUCAAAAACAUGUGGAAGCAAGAUGUGCUUCGGUGCCUCUGGUGCCGCCUUUAUGCAGUGAAGCCUUAUUUGUCUGAACCAAAAUCAAAAAGUUAAAACUUUCAACAAAGGAUCUCUUGGCUCUCACAUCGAUGAAGAACGCAGCGAAGCGCGAAAUGUAGUGUGAAUCGCAGAACUUAGUGAAUCAUCGAAUCUUUGAACGCACAUUGCGCCUCCCAUCAUCGGGAGGCAUGCCUGUCUGAGCGUCAUUUAAACCAUAGCUCCCAUCUGGGACUGUACUGGGCAUCGCCGACGGCGUAGCCUCAAAGACAUUGGUCUAAUCAAGCGGACGAGUUCCUUUAGGACGGACCGUUGGGUUGACCUUAAACCUCUGACUUGACCUCAGAUCAGGUAGGGCUACCGCCUGAACUUAAGCAUAUCAAUAA